UCCGCCAAUCCCAAGCUGCUGGUCCUACCAAGAACCGCACUUCUCUCUAACACCCCCGCCCCAUUUGCAAGCCCGUAGCAUCACAUCCGUGCGCCUCGGUGUGACGGGGUGAAACUGGAUGCUGCAUGAAUGGGAGUUGAUUUGAGAAGCAGAGAACAGCAGCCUAAGUUUGUAAUUUUGGCAGCUACAGUUACAUAAUCCACAGCAUUUUGUUAUGGAAGCCAUAGCUGACUAAGACACAACCCCAGGUAAAAAGUUGUUCUUUUAUUUUCUCCUAGAAAAAAAUAAUUUUGUCAAAUGUGUGGUCUAGAGUACACUUUACACCCCACAGGGUACACCCCAUGGUGAUCAAAAUAAAAUGAACCUGUUGUAAAAUUAUGUGUGGCUC
rnacentral:lncRNA from 13 species